UAAAUCAUUAUCCAGAAUUUGAGAAUUCAGGCAAACGGAUGCAUAUGGAUGCAAGUGACAUGUGGAAAAAUUGUUCUUACAAAUCAGGAAGAGAAUUUAAUAUAUCGAGCAAACAAGAAUUUUAAAUUUAGUCAUAAUAAUAGAAUUAAAUGUAUUGCGGAAACAAGCUUUUUGUUUUGAUAAGUAUAUCGACCAUAUAGGACUUUUAGUAUCAUCUCAAAGCCAUUGUCGAAGAACAACUUGGUAAUAAAACAAGCAAGAUUGAUUGAUCAUAUUCUUUCCUCUGAAUAGAACUUUUGAGUCCACAAGCUUCCACAUAUCAAAUUCACUUCAUAAGGACAAGUGUAAUCUAAAUCUGAGUUUAUAACAUUGAACGUGGGUAACAAAUUUCCUAAUAAGAGAAUACAGGCGGUUCAAGAAUGAAAUAUAAGGACAAUGUUGUCAAAAGCACCACGCAAUUACUAUGCAGAGAGGGUCCCCACCCUCCUUCGCACAUAUGAAAGCCUUCACAACCAAUAAGAAUACUUCAUCAACCAAAGCGAUGCACUGAAGGAACAAAAAAAUUGUUGCAUGAAUAAUAAAUUUCGAAACCUCGUAAAAAAUUAUUGUCUUAUAGCUGUGAUCAAAAUUAAAGCAGAAUAAAAACACUCAGAUAGGAAGUUCUUUACCUCUGAUCUUGCAGUGGCAUUGGCAACAUGGAAAUUAUUUUCAUUCUUUUCUAAGAGUAGUUUUUUAAACCACGUUUUUUCGUACAAUAAGGUAAUAGAUAUAGUAUUUAAAAUUUAUACGUCACAUAUAGAAGGAUGAAAGUCCAUCAUAUCGCUCUUCGAACGUGAUUUGAAGUAUCAAUCUUGGUAAUGGUAUCAUGGUCCCUAACAAAAUUAUUUCCAAUAAGGCUCAUUUUGCUCAAUUCACUAUGCAAAAAUCAUGGCAAAAAUUAGGUUUCAGUCUUUGAUCCCACAAGAAACAGAAAUUUAUUGAUAGUGAUGCAAAAAA